UCUUGAGACAAAGAGGGACAAAUUAACAAUAACAUAAGAAAAUAUCACAAAAAUAUUUUCACAAAAGAUCCAGACACGUGCUAAUUCCGUUUCCGAUAUUUAAAAUUAAUAGCUCUGUUUACUUCUUGUUUUGGUACAUUGAACUGCAAUAUCAAAACUCAAUAAUAAUAUUGUUGUUUUAUAUAUAAUAUUAUUGGCUCCUUAAGGAUAGCGCCUUUCCUCUAUGUUUACAACUCAAAAUCAAAACAUGACUUAUCAAAACUGGAAGUACAUAAAUACCUAAACUUUAAACUGAGAAACCAGUCAAAUUAUUUAUAAACAUCAUGAAGCUACUUUUCAUUUGUCUUUGUGUAUUUCUUCUGAUAUUGUCUAGUCGAGGGGAUAAUACGGAAAAAUCGUUUUUCAUUCAAGCCGGAUGUAAAUUUGGAUACGUGAAAUUUGGAAAACUUUGUUUGAGAAGUGGAGAUGUAAUCUGAUCGAGUCUGAAUUUUUCUUUCACCUCAACAUUUUAUUAUGUACCUGAUAUUUUAUUUAUAUUGAGUUAUGUAUUAUUUUAUUUUGUAAAGAAAAUAUAUGUAGUCUAAUUUGCUUUUUAA